AACGAACGCUGGCGGCAUGCCUAACACAUGCAAGUCGAACGAACCCUUCGGGGUUAGUGGCGCACGGGUGCGUAACGCGUGGGGAUCUGCCCAAAGGUUCGGAAUAACUCAGAGAAAUUUGAGCUAAUACCGGAUAAUGUCUUCGGACCAAAGAUUUAUUGCCUUUGGAUGAACCCGCGUAGGAUUAGCUUGUUGGUGGGGUAAAGGCCUACCAAGGCGACGAUCCUUAGCUGGUCUGAGAGGAUGAUCAGCCACACUGGGACUGAGACACGGCCCAGACUCCUACGGGAGGCAGCAGUGGGGAAUAUUGGACAAUGGGCGAAAGCCUGAUCCAGCAAUGCCGCGUGAGUGAUGAAGGCCUUAGGGUUGUAAAGCUCUUUUACCAGGGAUGAUAAUGACAGUACCUAGAGAAUAAGCUCCGGCUAACUCCGUGCCAGCAGCCGCCGGUAAUGUCAGUGACU
rnacentral:rRNA from 1 species